CUGGGCAUGGAAGGAUCUCAUUGACUGCCGGCCAGUUUCUUCACUUCCUAACGUAGUCAACUGCCAAGCACAAUGCUGUCUCCAGGAGUGACAUCCAGAAGAUCAACAUUUGCCCUUCCUGGUGCCAAGGAAGAGGGAGAGGGAUUCCUAUUGUUGGAAUGUCCUAUGCCACUGGUGUAGGGGUGAGUUCUGCUCCCACACCCAGCACGUCCCAGCCAGGGGAAAGCAUGAACCAACUGCACUCUCAGCCCUGUUUAUGUGGCAUCAGCACCAUCAGCUCCUGGAGAAUGUUUCCAAAAGGCUAUUCUGCUAUGUGGAAGGCCACAGGACCCAAUUCAGAGGUGGGGAUUCCAAACUGGGAGAGGCUUCCAGAAUGCAGUAAUUCCCAACUCAUACCACCUGUACUCUGUUCAAGUAAUCCUGAAAUCACGAGGACGGAUGGAGCUCAGCCAGCAAAUCCACACUGGGAGCACAGAAGGAGCCAAGGUUGCAGCAAUUAAUAAAAGCUUAAGGAUCAGGAGAAUGCGCACUUCCAGCCUGCUGCAAGUAAAUGGAUGCCUCCAACAAAUUUCUCCCUCGACUGCACUUGCACAUUCAAGCAGAGCACCCUGCCAUAACCCCAGCCUUGGCCCCACCAAGCUGGGGGUUUUCAGAGUUUUAAUGUAAAGCAAUGAGAGGAGAGUUACAAUUGCUUCUGGCCUAGCACUUUACAGUAUAUGAUAAGCAACCAGAUCUUUACAUUAUAUCAUGACUUGGUUAUGUUACAUAGAGUUAGCGUUUCUAGAGGCGUCACAAUCCACUCCACUGCAAGCAACAGGCCCACAAUUGAGAACGCUUACUUCGAGGAUUGACUCUCAAUUUUUUCCUUAUUUUUAAAUGAAAAUUUAAUGUCUUUUUUAUAUUAAU